rnacentral:rRNA from 1 species
CUACGGGUUGCAGCAGUGGGGAAUAUUGGACAAUGGGGGGAACCCUGAUCCAGCAAUGCCGCGUGUGUGAAGAAGGCCUGCGGGUUGUAAAGCACUUUCGGUUGGGAGGACUGCUUCUAGCACUAAUAUUGUUGGAAGUUGACGUUACCUUCAGAAGAAGCACCGGCUAACUCCGUGCCAGCAGCCGCGGUAAUACGGAGGGUGCAAGCGUUAAUCGGAAUUACUGGGCGUAAAGCGCGCGUAGGCGGCUAGAUCAGUCGGGUGUGAAAGCCCCGGGCUUAACCUGGGAACUGCAUCCGAUACUGUCUAGCUUGAGUACAGGAGAGGAGAGUGGAAUCCCACAUGUAGCGGUGAAAUGCGUAGAUAUGUGGAGGAACACCAAUGGCGAAGGCAGCUCUCUGGCCUGAUACUGACGCUGAGGUGCGAAAGCGUGGGGAGCAGACAGGAUUAGAUACCCCGGUAGUC